UACAUGGGGUGCAAACGUUGCUCGGAAUUAUUGGGCGUAAAGCGCACGUAGGCGGUUCGUUAAGUCGGAUGUGAAAGCCCUCGGCUCAACUGAGGAAGUGCACCCGAAACUGGCGAGCUUGAGUACGAAAGAGGAUCGCGGAAUUCCCGGUGUAGAGGUGAAAUUCGUAGAUAUCGGGAGGAACACCGGUGGCGAAGGCGGUUCUCUGGGCCUUACCUGACGCUGAGGAGCGAAAGCGUGGGAGCGAACAGG
rnacentral:rRNA from 1 species